CAGUCCGGCGAAUCCGAAUGGGCGUUCGGCCACAUAUCGCCGAACAGGAAGCCGGUGAAAUUCCGGCGCGGGACCGCCGCUGUAAGCGAGGAGGUCCCCGGACGACGUGCCACUGCGGGCGAGAGCCCGCGGGAAGGCGUUCCGGGGGCCGUCCGACUCGCGAGCCAGAAUACGGCCCUUCGGACACCCAGAUGA
rfam:Planctomycetales bacterium 71-10 scnpilot_p_inoc_scaffold_703, whole genome shotgun sequence.